GAAAAAAAAACCUGCAUUUAUAGAAAUUCAAUUUGGAAGUUGGAACCAAACUAUUACUUCUUUCAAAAGUCUAGUAUGUUUCUACCAUACAAAUAUAGAAGAUACAGAUUUCAAAAGAACACAUUCACAAAUCCCUUGCACCGAAGGGAUGUAAUAACCUGUUUUGGCAGCAUGUUUAGUGGGUUUACUGUUGAUAAAAGAAAAGUGGAGCAUGUUUCCGUGUUUUGAGCAACAAAGGGAAAAGCUGGGUGCUAUAGUGAGGAGCGUCGGUGGAAGGAACUGCAGUUCUCACUCUCUCUCUCUCUCGUCCGAAACCAUCCAAGAAACAGAGCAAUUAUUUUCCAAGCUUGUGAGGAGCGUCGGUGGAAGGAACUGCAGUUCUCACUCUCUCUCUCUCUCGUCCGAAACCAUCCAAGAAACAGAGCAAUUAUUCUCCAAGCUUGUGAGGAGCGUCGGUGGAAGGAACUGCAGUUCUCGCUCCAUAGGCCAUCGAUCGACCCCAGACCACGUUCCACGCCUUCACCUAUACCUUGCGCAGCUGCUAGAGGCAGCCUUGAACCGCGACACGGCCACCAGCGGCGGCGGGAAGCUCCGCCCGGUUUGAGCUCGUUUUGGUUCCAAGCUUGAUAUCUCAAGCUACCGGUCACCAAUCCUCACCAAACUUCAUCCUCGAGCUCACCUCAACCUCCUGAAACUCCCAGAAGUGUCCUUUCACGGAGGCGCUGCGCGUGGUGGCAGCUGGAAGCCAGCCCCGAUCAAAAUCGAAAAACUGAGCAAUCGAUCCGGAUAUCUCGAGCUACAGACCAUCAUUUCUUGUGAUUCUUGAGCUGGUGAACUCAGAUUGAAGUUCUGAACAACUUUCAUGAAGGGAUCGAAGCGAUUUGUUGAAGUUUUUACGUCGGAACUCAAGCUCGCCGGAUUCUGGAAAUUUUCCGGCCACCGAAGCUUUCGAUCAAGAUAUCUCGAGCUGUAGAGCUUCGUUUUGAGUGAUUCUUGAACCCGUGAGUUCGAAUUGAUGUUAUUAACAACUCUCCAGAAGGGAUUGAGGCCUGAAAUUGAAGUUUUUACGUCGAAAUCAUAGCUCGCCGGUUCUGCAAAUUCUCGCCGGAUUCUGGAAAUUUUCCGGCCAACCCGACUGGUUCGAGGUGACUGACGGUAUGAGUUGGUGGACGAUUGUGAAUCGUAUUUUGAACUGCUUAGAAGACGCAGCUGGAUAAGAGCGGAAAAUCCUACAGGUCAGGAGAAUCGAGAAGGUGAUCAGGCUGCUUAGAGUAGUGGUAUUUGAGUUACAGCUUUAUUGUGAGGUUGUUAUGCUCAUUUGAGCUUACAUUUAAAUUUGGAGAGAGUGUGUUGUAAUAUUAAACUCUUGAGGAUUUGGUUUAUGUAUUAGUGAGUGAGGCGAGGUGUGUUUAUUUCUGAGAAAAAAAUUC